rnacentral:rRNA from 1 species
UAACGGUCCUAAGGUAGCGAAAUUCCUUGUCGGGUAAGUUCCGACCUGCACGAAUCGUGUAACGAUCGCGGCACUGUCUCGAAGUGGAGCUCGGCGAAGUUGUAAUUCCGGUGAAAAUGCCGGAUACCUGCAGUAGGACGGAAAGACCCUGUGAACCUUUACUGUAAUCUGAUAUUGGCAUUCGGGUGUUAAUGUGUAGGAUAGGUGGGAGGCUGCGAAGCAAGAGCGCCAGCUCCUGUGGAGCCACCGGUGAAAUACCACCCUUUAUAACUUGAAUGUCUAACCUCAGCCCGUGAAUCCGGGCGGGAAACAGUGUCAGAGGGUCAGUUUGACUGGGGCGGUUUCCUCCAAAAUUGUAACGGAGGAGCACGAAGGUACACUCAGAGCGGUUGGCAAUCGUUCGAAGAGCGUAAGGGUAUAAGUGUGCUUAACUGCGAGACAGACACGUCGAGCAGAUGCGAAAGCAGGUCCUAGUGAUCCAGCGAUAGAACGUGGAAUCGUCGUUGCUCAACGGACAAAAGGUACUCCGGGGAUAACAGGCUGAUAGCGUCCAAGCGUCCAUAGCGACGACGCUGUUUGGCACCUCGAUGUCGGCUCAUCUCAUCCUGGGGCUGUAGAAGGUCCCAAGGGUCCGGCUGUUCGCCGGUUAAAGAGGUACGCGAGCUGGGUUCAGAACGUCGCAAGACAGUUCGGUCCUUAUCCACUGUAGGCGCAGGACAUUUGACAAGAUCAUUCCUUAGUACGAGAGGACCGGGAAUGACUGACCUCUGGUAUUCCAAUUGUGUGUAAACACGCAGCGUUGGGUAGCUAUGUCGGGAAAGGAUAAGCGCUGAAAGCAUCUAAGCGCCAAGCCCCCUUGAAGACUAGAUGUCCCUGGGAUUUAUUCCCCUGAAGGCGGGUCGUAGACGACGACCUCGAUAGGCCGGAUGUGUAAGAACAGCAAUGUUUUCAGCUUACCGGUACUAAUCCGCCGUGAGGCUUGACCAC